AAAGUCGUAACAAGGUCUCCGUUGGUGAACCAGCGGAGGGAUCAUUACAGAGUUGCAAAACUCCCAACCAUUGUGAACCUACCUCACCGUUGCUUCGGCGGGUGGCCCUCUCCGGGGCCUCGGGGCGCCGGCAACCCGUCAGAGGACCGAAACUCUUAGUAACCAUUGGCCUCUCUGAGUAACUUAUACAAUAAGUCAAAACUUUCAACAACGGAUCUCUUGGUUCUG
rnacentral:misc_RNA from 1 species